rnacentral:SRP_RNA from 1 species
GCUGGGUGUGGUGGUGGGCACCUGUAAUCCCAGCUACUUGGGAGGCUGAGGCAGAAGAAUUGCUUGAACCUGGGAGUCUGAGUUGCAGUGAGCUGAGAUCGCGCCACUGCACUCCAGCCUGGGAGACAGAGUGAGACUCGGUCUCAA